GUUUUACAGGAACAUGGGGGUUGCUUGUUUUUUUUCCUUCUAUCUGUUGCUGCAUGUUUGUUAGAGAAGGCAAAACUAAUCGCCGGAGAUUAAUUCCUUUAAAUAAAAUUUGAGUACUAAUACCCAACUUGGGUACAACAUUAAGUUCUGGGAGUUGGCUACAAAAAAACCUUGUAAAACUGGUUCUACAUGGAUAUUUUAUCUGCCCAGGCCUUGACAUGACCCUCUGUGAAGGGAUCUGGGAGAGCAAACCUUUUUCUUCUCUCUUUGCAUUGUUACAUAGGGCGAGUAGUUCCCUCACUUAUGGGAAAGAGCGCAGGGUCCACUCCUAAGCUGGGUGGAUCCCAGAAAAUCCCUGAGAGGUGCAAGACAUCUUCCCUGCACUCUGGCAAGAUCAGCACUGAAGAGAUAAAUACCCAAAGGUGAUGCCAUAACUCUGAAAUGUCCCAUGCACAAAGCACAUUCUCUGGAACUUUACAGAACACUCUGCUGAUUAGUCUGCUGAGCUUUCCUGCAGUGCUAGAGCCAUUUGGUGCCUACAUGAUCAUGAACGGUAUGUGUAAAGUAAGCAUGAAAAUUGCACUGUCCUUCACCUUUCCUGGUCUUCUCUGUACUUAUGAGCCUGCAGGGUAUUGCAGUUGUAGAUCAUACUCCACCUGCUCACAAGAACAGAGCAAAUACAUAGCUGCUUUGUGGUAUUUUUUUAGAUGACAUGCCUUAGCAAUAUCUUUUUAAAAGCCAAAUGUGAUUGACUUCUAUAUCCUGCAUGGUUACAGAGGACCUAUAAAACAAUUCUUCACCGUAGAAGACAUUUUAAUCGUAAAACCUUUCUGUCCAUCCCAGGUUAGGUAACGUGUUACUUAGGAAAUCUGUGUCUAACCUGAUUUUUUUUUUUAAAUGUGAUACAUCAGGCAGUGAGGAGAGCUGGACUCAGAGGUUUGCACUUACUAUAUUUUUUCUUACCACAGCAUGUAUUAUAUAAUCUCACCAAGUGGAGUUACCAAAAUAC
rnacentral:lncRNA from 1 species